AACCCGUGAUGAGGGCAUGAGAGAAGAAGAUCUUUAAAUCUCUCCCAACAUUCAUAAAAAAAUUCAUUAAUUUUUGUUGGAAAUUGCUGAUAUAUCUUUUCAGAAAAU